UUCCAAGGAAGAGUGAACUAGCAGAAUCA
rnacentral:piRNA from 1 species